rnacentral:tRNA from 1 species
GCCUUGGUGGCUCAGUGGUUGAGCAUCUGCUUUCAGCUCAGAGCGUGAUCCCGGGGUCCAGGAUCGAGUUCUGCCUCAGGCU